UAAAACGGGGUUUAACACUCCCACAGCUCCCACAGCUCCCACACGCGGAUCUCUGCAGACUGUUCGGUGUUUUCAUUGGUUGGUGGUCAGCAGAGCGUGCACACUUUGUGAUCUGCAGGUUUCUACAUACAGACAUAUAAGUGUCGAGGAGGAGGGAAGAAGAAGAUGUCAGAGAGCAGGGUGACGAUGGAGCUGGGAGUGAACGGAUCCUCCAAACACCAGUCUGCAGGAUUGGGACAACAACGACAUGGCUCCACCGUCAGCUUCCACAACAUCCACUACAAGGUGACGCAGGGAGGGAACUGUCUGUGCCGUAAGAAAGGGAAGAUCAAGGACAUCCUCCUCGAUCUGAAGUGAGUAAACGUGGGUAGGCGAACCGACCACGCUGCCACCGUUAACCCGAUAUCACAGUUUCAGUGAAUCUUGAUAUCAAAUUCACAUUUCUUGCCAAACUACAUAAGAUAAGAUAAAGAUAAGAUAAGAUAUAUUUUAUUCAUCCCAGCUGGGAAAUUUAGGUGUUCCAGCAGCCAGCAUACAAACAAACAUUCACACUGACAAUGAGAUCCAAACCAAAUAUUUGGCACUGAAGAAAUCAACCACACUUUAUACUCUGGUGCGUCCUAUGUUCUCCAUUUUGCGCUAAUCGCUUUUAAGAUAGUUAGCUUAAAUCUUAUGAUGCUACUUUUUAAGAGGCAGGAAAAUAGAUCAAGUCAGAAAUCAGGGAGAGAGGGAGUGAGGGAUGA